AUCGAACUCUGGCGGCAGGCCUAACACAUGCAAGUCGAACGAGUGGCGGACGGGUGAGCAAUUUCUGGGAAACUGCCUGACGGAGGGGGAUAACUAUUGGAAACGGUAGCUACUACCGCAUACCAUCGGAUGUGCCCAGAGGGGAUUAGCUAGUAGGUGGGGUAAAGGGUCACCUAGGCGACGAUCCCUACCUGGUCCGAGAGGGUGACCAGCCACACUGGAACGGAGACACGGUCCAGACUCCUACGUGAGGCAGCAGUGGGGAAUAUUGCACAAUGGGCGCAAGCCUGAUGCAGCCAUGCCGCGUGUAUGAAGAAGGCCUUCGGGUUGUAAAGUACUUUCAGCGGGGAGGCGUUACCCGCAGAAGAAGCACCGGCUAACUCCGUGCCAGCCGCCGCGGUAAUUC
rnacentral:rRNA from 1 species